UAAUUAUGUUAUCAUCAAAAUUUUUGAGUGUUAGCACCCUGCUUCUUGCAAACUGCAGCUUAAACCCAAGUGCUAAUAUAAGGUGCUCUCAAAACCUCAGGCUGCAGUGAAUUCAGGCUGGACUUUCCAAACAGUGGGAAGAUUUUCCCUGGGUUCUUCUGCAUCUCAGUUGCUUCUUUCUUAAAUGUGAAGGGUACAAUCUCCUUCUCCCAUGGGAACAAUGUGAUGGUGAAUUAAUUCAGUUUCUUUAAGUGCCUAUGUUAUGGAACACAGAAAGAGUCACAGAUACAUCACACAAAGCUAGGCUGAAAUAAUGACCAGUGAACAAGGCAAGAGGCUUCCUAUAGAGCAGCAUGCUGAUAAAAGAAAUAGCUGCUCAGGAAAUUAUUCCUUACCCCCCCAUGGAACAGAAUGAUAUACCAGGACCAGUGUGAAAAACUCCAAACUUUUUAAGACUUACAUCACACUACAGAUUCCCAAAUGGUACAAGACAGCAUUUAACAGCUGCAAAAUAUGCACCCCCCUAGUAUGUCUACUUUUGAGACAGUAAUUUUGUAAUCUUGCCAAGCUACCAUCAACAAUUUGAUUAACAUUACUGAAAAACUCUGUUUGUACAAGUUUGAAAAAGUAAAAACUGGAGUCUUCUACAAAGAUCACUCUGAUUAAAAUGAACUUUUCAGCUGUGUUUACCCUGCAAGUCCAAAACUGCAAAUUUUCUCCUGUUGGAAAGAUACUCGUAGAUUUGCACUGGAAAAGCUGAGCACUGCCUUGUGCUGUUCUAUCAGUAUUAGUAUAAGGUUAUGAAGACUUGAAAUACUUCUCAAGUAUUUCUCAAGGAAAAUUUGAUAAACACAUUGAAAAUUUAUUCAGCCAGCUCCCAACCUUUAUCAUGUGCUUUCCCACAAGUAGUGACAGAGGGUCCCUUUUUUGUCUUGUAGGUAGAACCAAUGGGAAUUGCAUUUCACAAAGAACAACAGAACCUCAUUUGUGGGUGUCACUGCAACAGGAGAUGUGUGUUAUAUACAGCACUGUGCUGUUAAUUGUGACAUUAUGUUCAUCAUGUUUUCAUUGACAAGGGACUCCGAAGCACACCAUUUAUUUAUUGCUUUUGCUGACUAAUAGUAUGCAAAGCUUUGAUAUUCUUACAAAUGGUACCACUGAACAGUAGGGAGGGAAACAUUCACGUGGAGAACUUAGUAUAAUGCUCAGUGCUGCCUGUGCAGCUCCCCCAACAAGCCCCAACAAGCUUCAGAGAGAAUAAGGCACUUUGUGUUGCCACAGAUGCAAGUGUUCAAAGUACAAACAUAAACUUUGUCUACAGGGAGAUGUAGGCAACUUCCUAACUCUGUGUGAAAUCUGCAGAUUUUGUUUUGCUUUAGCUAUGAAGGCUUUAAAUGUCUUUUGAAUAAUUGUGAGUAUAAGGUGACACCCUUUCUUCGUGUUUUCUAUAUCAAGUCACUUACUUGAUAUAAAGAGAACUCAAGUCCAAAUGUCCUCCUCACAGCACUUGUAUCCCAGAAGUACCUCUUGGCCUGUGAGAUAUGUUCCUGUGAGGCUCUCUAAAACUGUUUUGCUAAAGUUUAUUUAAAAUUUCACUGGAUAAAAUGAAGAAUCAAAGGUAGAGUAAUGCAGAAGGCUGCACACUGCAUCUGCAGGAGACAUGCUCUCUUUUCUGAGGACAAGGAACUUCAGUAAUUUUAUAUGAGGUAAAAGCCCACACCAAAAUUUGAAAGAUGGCAAUGAGAGCAUUACUGUGAAAGGAUAGCUUCCUGCAUACUUAUGAGAGUUUUUCAAUGCAGGUUUUAAAUGUUGGUUCAGCUUCCUUUGGUUUUCUUUAGACUCCCUCCUAUGUAAAGUUAAAGAAAGAAUUAAUAGCCAGUGGUUUUUCUUGUCAGUUUUUCAGCAUGUGACAAAUGUUUUAUUUCUGGUAGAAAACAUGUUUUUUCUUUUCAUUUUUUUUGGCCCAAACUUUCUUUGCUUUCCUGGCAUAUGCUGAAAGGCCAGAACAGCUUCUCUACUUCAGUUCCUGGAUCUGUGUCUGAUUUUGUCAAACAUCUGCAGAUUUACCAUGCCUCAGCUUCCCCAUGUGAAACACUGCCUUGUGAUAUCAUUACCUGAAAAGUGUGAAAAAAAGAAGGAGGAUGCAGGAAGUUUGGAGAGCUGGCAGGGUUGUAUUUCUGGAAAUUUUAUUUCAAAACAUUAUUAAAAAACUUUUCUGUUUGUACAACUUAUUGGUAGCCCAAAGGUAUACUCAGGAAGAGGGAGGUUUUAUUUAUAUGGAAUAUAAACUGUAAGACCAGAGAGAGAAGUAUCAUAGCGUAUUCUUAACAAUGACAAAGAAGAGUUGGAGAAAGAAAACACUGCUGAGCUGGACCAGAGCAGCUACCAAUCAAAAAUCUCCCUUAAAAGAUGAACAGGACUGUAUACACUCCUUUGGAUGUUGGCAUCAGCUUCCCCUGCUAAGUUUCUGCUCUGCAACCUCAUCAUAGAAUUUCACACUGGGUUAAAUUUUGGCAUGAUUCGGAAGAAGAUGAGCCAGGAAUUAAUGAAGAGGAAGAUUCAACAACAUGAUAACCAGAAGCUAAUGCUACUACUGCUUGAAAAAUUGAGUUUUCAGGUUUGUAAAGGACAAGAGGGGUUCAAUGCACCGACCAUAUCCAACUGCAAGUUGUCUGAUGAGAGAAAAGGACAUGAGCAGCUCACUAAUCUUUCUUGCAGGCUUCUGCAUCCAUUAUAUUCCUUCCAGUCAAGUGGAAGCAAGAUGAAAUUUUGGAAGACUCAAGUGAUAUUGAAAAGAGAAGCAGGGCAGGAGCACUGCCCAGAGGAAAAAUGAUGGAAGAAGGAACAGGGAGAUGAAGAAAAGGAACUUUAUUUAGCUUUCUUUCUCCUUUCUGAGGGGCUCCAAGAACCUUCUUCAAGAUUUACAUGUAUUGAACGAGUUAUUCUUAACAGUAAAAGUGAAGGACCCACUCCAAGAAUUAGGUCAUACAUUCCAGCUUCCUGACAAUAAAUAAUGGAAAAAGAUCUGAGUGAAGGUUAUCAGUCAACACAGUGUUUUGUUCCUUAAAGCUAGGAAGUCCAGUCUGUGUUUUCUAAUGCACUGCUGUCAUGGUGUAACUGCAGUCACCAACAAAGUACCACAGAGCCACUGGCUCUGUCCCCACCCCCAGUGGGCUGGGGAGGAGAAUCAGAAAAAGAUUA